GAUGAACGCUGGCGGCGUGCCUAAUACAUGCAAGUCGAGCGAACAGACGAGGAGCUUGCUCCUCUGACGUUAGCGGCGGACGGGUGAGUAAAACGUGGAUAACCUACCUAUAAGACUGGGAUAACUUCGGGAAACCGGAGCUAAUACCGGAUAAUAUAUUAAACCGCAUGGUUCAAUAGUGAAAGACGGUUUUGCUGUCACUUAUAGAUGGAUCCGCGCCGCAUUAGCUAGUUGGUAAGGUAACGGCUUACCAAGGCGACGAUGCGUAGCCGACCUGAGAGGGUGAUCGGCCACACUGGAACUGAGACACGGUCCAGACUCCUACGGGAGGCAGCAGUAGGGAAUCUUCCGCAAUGGGCGAAAGCCUGACGGAGCAACGCCGCGUGAGUGAUGAAGGUCUUCGGAUCGUAAAACUCUGUUAUUAGGGAAGAACAAAUGUGUAAGUAACUAUGCACGUCUUGACGGUACCUAAUCAGAAAGCCACGGCUAACUACGUG
rnacentral:rRNA from 1 species